rnacentral:lncRNA from 10 species
UUUAGAAUGCAAGGCUUCCUCAAUUCUCCACCCUUCCCCUCUUGACAUCUUGCUCUUCUUCCCUUCAUCUAUUGUGUUAGUCAGGUGCAUGCUGGUCUUCCCUCUAUCAAACUGCAGGACUUUCAUAGUUUUGAACAAGUCAGAACCUGAAAGAAUUUGCUUCCAGAACAGGACAUUGACAGGAAAAUUAAGCAUGAUCAUGCCGAGGAAAAUAGGAAUAAGAAUUGGACCUACCUCAAGAUCUGUUGAGAAGAUUAUGAGAGAGCUGAUGGAUCUAAAAGAUUGGCGCUUGGUUUAACAACAACUGGUAAGAUCACUGAGCUGUAAACAGGACUCUGCACA